rnacentral:rRNA from 1 species
UACGGAGGUGGCAAGCGUUGUUCGGAAUCACUGGGCUUAAAGCGCGUGUAGGCGGAGUGCCAAGUGUCUGGUGAAAGCCCCGGGCUCAACCCGGGAAUGGCUGGGCAAACUGGCAUUCUUGAGGCAAGUAGAGGUGACCGGAACGACUGGUGGAGCGGUGAAAUGCGUAGAUAUCAGUUGGAACGCCGGAGGCGAAAGCGGGUCACUGGGCUUGUCCUGACGCUGAGACGCGAAAGCGUGGGGAGCAAACAGG